UAUCCCCUGCGGUGCUCGUCACGGUCAGUCGUUCUAUGAACCAAUGCAUUUAUGCAAGGCUGCCGAAUCGGAGGCUGGUGUUCGCUUCCAUAGAAGCGUCUGAAAGUCUCGUCAGGCGGCCAUCUUGAACCGAGGUUCAAGAAAGCGAUCGAACGGCACAGGCGGGGGGCCA
rnacentral:other from 1 species